rnacentral:tRNA from 1 species
GCGGAAGUGGCUCAGUGGUAGAGCGUCUCCUUGCCAAGGAGAAGGUCGCGGGUUCAAAUCCCGUCUUCCGCU